AGAGUUUGAUCCUGGCUCAGGAUGAACGCUGGCGGUAUGCCUAACACAUGCAAGUCGUACGGAAAAGAAAUUUUUAGUGGCGAACGGGUGAGUAACGCGUGAGAAUUUGCUUUUAGGUAGAGGAUAACGAAUAGAAAUAUUCGCUAAAACUCUAUAACUCUAUUAAAAAAAUAGCUAAAAAAAAGAAAUUUGCCUAGAAAAAAGCUCGCGUCUGAUUAGCUAGUUGGUAAGGGAAAGGCUUACCAAGGCGACGAUCAGUAGCUGAUUUGAGAGGAUGAUCAGCCACACUGGAACUGAGACACGGUCCAGACUCCUACGGGAGGCAGCAGUGAGGAAUUUUCUGCAAUGGGCGAAAGCCUGACAGAGCAAUACCGCGUGAGGGAAUAAGAAGGCCUAUGGGUUGUAAACCUCUUUUCUCAAAGAAGAAGAUCUGACGUUAUUUGAGGAAUAAGCAUCGGCUAACCCUGUGCCAGCAGCCGCGGUAAU
rnacentral:rRNA from 1 species